UCACGAUGGUUCAAGAGAACUGAAGUGGCCCACUCCAGCCAGCCCGCCUGUCACAGAUAACCAUCACGGGGCUGGAGCCAAGGGUGCAACUGGAUGCAGCAGCAGUCAAGGUACCAGGACAUGACUCCUGGAAUCACUGCUCAUGAGUCAAGCCGUGGAAGAAAACAGAAGAGGACACUCAAUAUACCUAAGAGCCCCUGGGAGAUAGCAGAUGAGCCUGAUCUAUGUGAGCCUGCUUCUGUUGACUCCAAAAGUCCUGAGUCUGCCUUUUGACCCUCAAGACAAUGCCUUCCUGUCCUGGCUUCAUUCCUAAACUGCAGUUAGACAAUCGGUCUAACUGCUGGGUCUGCACAGCACUCCCCUCUUCAUCAGCUGAAGGCUUCCCAUGGAGGGUUUCUCCACUUCAAGGAAAAGACUUUCCUCAACUCUGUAAAUAUUUUCACCAACAAAAAUCACGUGUGAUGCCUCUGUUUUAAUCUCAUGAUAUCUAGCAAUCUUAAAAUGGAUGGGUGCAACACUUUGUGCUUUAACUAUGGAC
ensembl:lncRNA